rnacentral:sRNA from 14 species
GCUGGGCGCGGUGGCGCACGCCUGUAGUCCCAGCUACUCGGGAGGCUGAGACAGGAGGAUCUCUUGAGUCCAGGAGUUCUGGGCUGUAGUGCGCUAUGCCGAUCGGGUGUCCGCACUAAGUUCGGCAUCAAUAUGGUGACCUCCCGGGAGCGGGGGACCACCAGGUUGCCUAAGGAGGGGUGAACCGGCCCAGGUCGGAAUCUGCUGUAUAGACUUUUGAACACCUUGAGUUGAUUUUUUUUACCCAAAACUUAUACACUUAUGCACUUA